UACGAAGGGGGCUAGCGUUGUUCGGAAUUACUGGGCGUAAAGGGCGCGUAGGCGGUGUGUCAAGUCAGGCGUGAAAGCCCCGGGCUCAACCUGGGAACAGCGCUUGAAGACUGGCACGCUCGAGUUCGGGAGAGGAUGGUGGAAUUCCCAGUGUAGAGGUGAAAUUCGUAGAUAUUGGGAAGAACACCGAUGGCGAAGGCGAGCCAUC
rnacentral:rRNA from 1 species